UACGGAGGGUGCGAGCGUUGUUCGGAAUCACUGGGCGUAAAGCGCGUGUAGGCGGUUCUGUAAGUCUGGUGUGAAAUCCCGGGGCUCACCCCCGGAAGUGCACUGGAAACUGCAGAACUCGAGUCCCGGAGAGGAGAGUGGAAUUCCUGGUGUAGCGGUGAAAUGCGUAGAUAUCAGGAGGAACACCGGUGGCGAAGGCGGCUCUCUGGACGGUGACUGACGCUGAGACGCGAAAGCGUGGGGAGCAAACAGG
rnacentral:rRNA from 1 species